GCUAUUUCAGUUAUCACAGCUUUUCUACAAACCAAAUAAUAUGAAAAUUUUGAUAUUCUGAAAUUAGAUUUAUAUUAGCUCUUACUAAAAUAUUGUUGGAAUUUAAAAUACCACACUUUAUAUAACUAAUAUCUUUAUUUAGCUCUCCUGUUUAUAUUCCUUUUUUAUGAUUAUGUUUUUUUCAAAAGCAUAAAAGUAUUUUGAAAGUAAAACAGUAAAGUUGUGAAAUGUUUUUAUAUUGGCUUCAAACAAAACUUAUAUAGCUGCUUCUUUUUUUAAAAAAAAAGUGUUUCUCUUGAAGAGAUUUCUGCAUAUACAGAGAUACAAAAGCAAGGGAAAGUAACUGAAAAUACUAUUAACUAAAUAAAGCCAAUGAAACUCAUAUAGGAUCAAGUCAAUAUCUACCCAUUCUUGAAUAGAAAAAUCUGAAAAUGGAAGGGGUGUGUAAGCCUUUCCUUA
rnacentral:lncRNA from 1 species